rnacentral:lncRNA from 1 species
AUGCCAACUCAGCCAAAAAAAUGGGAUGCCUCACCUAAGUUUAGCGCCCCCUUAUUUAUAAGAUAAGAAGGGGUGCCAAAAACAUCUCCAAGGGAUGCCAACCUUUGGCAUCCCAAUUCCUUCACAUGGUGAAAUAAAUCACCAUAAUAAAAAUUGGUGUGGGGAAGUUAAGGAGAAGAAGGACUCUUCCUUCUUGGUCCCAUA